rnacentral:rRNA from 1 species
CCCUACGGGGGGCAGCAGUGAGGAAUAUUGGUCAAUGGGCGAGAGCCUGAACCAGCCAAGUCGCGUGAGGGAUGACGGCCCUAUGGGUUGUAAACUUCUUUUAUAUGGGAGUAAAAUGCUCCACGCGUGGGGUUUUGUAUGUACCAUAUGAAAAAGGAUCGGCUAACUCCGUGCCAGCAGCCGCGGUAAUACGGAGGAUCCGAGCGUUAUCCGGAUUUAUUGGGUUUAAAGGGAGCGUAGGCGGAUUGUUAAGUCAGUUGUGAAAGUUUGCGGCUCAACCGCAACAUUGCAGUUGAACUGGGAAG